UACGUAGGCAGCAAGCGUUGUUCGGAGUUACUGGGCGUAAAGGGUGUGUAGGCGGUUAUUUAAGUUUGGUGUGAAAUCUCCCGGCUCAACCGGGAGGGUGCGCCGAAUACUGAAUGACUUGGAGUGCGGGAGAGGAAAGUGGAAUUCCUGGUGUAGCGGUGAAAUGCGUAGAUAUCAGGAAGAACACCGGUGGUGUAGACGGCUUUCUGGACCGUAACUGACGCUGAGGAGCGAAAGCGUGGGGAGCGAACAGG
rnacentral:rRNA from 1 species